rnacentral:rRNA from 1 species
CCUACGGGAGGCAGCAGUGAGGAAUAUUGGUUAAUGGACGAGAGUCUGAACCAGCCAAGUAGCGUGAAGGAUGACUGCCCUAUGGGUUGUAAACCUCUUUUAUAUGGGAAUAAAACGUUCCACGUGUGGGAUUUUGUAUGUACCUUAUGAAUAAGGAUCGGCUAACUCCGUGCCAGCAGCCGCGGUAAUACGGAGGAUCCGAGCGUUAUCCGGAUUUAUUGGGUUUAAAGGGAGCGUAGGUGGGUUGUUAAGUCAGUUGUGAAAGUUUGGGGCUCAACCGUAAAAUUGCAGUUGAAACUGGAAGUCUUGAGUACAGUAGAGGUAGGCGGAAUACGUGGUGUAGCGGUGAAAUGCUUAGAUAUCACGAAGAACUCCGAUUGCGAAGGCAGCUCACUGGACUGCAACUGACACUGAGGCUCGAAAGUGUGGGUAUCAAACAGGAUUAGAUACCCGGGUAGUC